UUUAUUUUCAAAAUGCAGACGAAAUCCAGGGGAGAGGCUGUUCUUUGUACAAUUGCCGUUCAAACACAUAAAAAAUGUGACGUCUACGAUGUUUAAUCAUAACAUUGAUAUUUCAAGAAUAUUACGAUUGUUCCAUUUGCCCGUUUAUUGUUGAUGAUCCAGUGUCGUAUGGUGGACAAACCAUUUUUUUCUAGAAUCGAAUUACGCCAACGAAAAUCCGUUGUUUUCCCAUCUAUCAUUCAAGAACGCGCUUCCAUUUUUACUUUUUGUCAUUGAGAAUUAGUUCCAUUUGUCCAGUUUGUUUGCCUGCAUUUUCUGAUCAACGUGUCGUCCAAAAAAGUGAGAGAACUUCUACUUCUUAUCGAUAGUGGCUUAUCUAAGAACGGGAGCAUCAACAAAGAGAUUUUUAUAAGCUUUAGCCCCGAACUGCUAUGGGGAUCGAACAAAACAAAAGGCACCGUUUAAAAAGUGGACAGAAGAAUUAAUUCGACCGACUUUGGAGAAGUAUUUUGAAAACCCAAAUCUGGAUUAUAGCGAAGUGCAAGUUAAAAGACACUUGGACAUAAAAGAAAUGCCCUUCAAAAUGGUGAUCGUACUAGCAGUUUUGAUAACGUUUUGUUUUAAUUGAACAGAGGACAAAGAGUUUGUCGGCAUACCUCGAGAUGGUGAUUUGUAAGGAGAAGGAAUACCAGGAUGCUGGAACGAGGCGUGUAUGUCUGCACAGUGUAUGUAGGGUAUGUUGAUACAUAUCUACUAUAAACUCAUUUUACAGGAAUAGGACGAAAUAUGAAUAUACGAAGCAAUUAGCCGUUGUGUGAAGUAACCAACGUCGAGACAUCCACCAAAUUGCCCCAGAAUGCAAACGACAGCCCGUGGCGAAAGUGUUUUGAGAGUUUCAAUCAAUUUUAGAAUGAUCAUAUGAUAUAUUAGGGAGAAAAGGGACAGACAGACAGAGGAAAUAGACACAACCACAAAUAAAAUCUUCCAAUGUCAAUUUCUUUUAUGUCUUUUCAGGUUUGAUUUCUUUCUUCUGCUCAUACUUGUCAGCAAAUACCGCCCUGUCCUCUAGCCGGAGAAUGGAAUGGAAAUCGUCCCGGCUAUUCAAGUGGAUCGACGCCUCCUCGUGUCCUAAUAGGCGUGCUACCAAAAUCAAUGAUAAAACGCGUUAAUCCCCAUCAAAAUGGAAAAAUUCUAUGGACGUAUUCUGUAGAACCUGAGGAUGGACGGGCAAGUACUCCAGAUCGAAGUAUGGUAGGCGUCCUCGUUUGCCAAAUCUAUUUCAAAGCAAUGGAAAAGUGGUUGAACUUCUAACUUGCUAAUUAACGCAUUUAUUAUGCAACUGCCGCGUGAAGAAAACUGUCGCAAAAGCUGUGAAGUCCAUGCUCCGUUCUGCAAAUGCGUUCAUGCUGAAGCCAAUCACUGUUUAGCUUGGAAAAAAAACAAAACAAUUGUGAUCUUUAAAGACGUGCGAGAAAGAAAAAAAACCUUUGCUCUUCGUUUGUGAUGCUGUGUGCUGGUGAAGUUGUGGACGUUCAUGUAGUAACUGUACCUGGGACGGACGAGUGAGUUGUCGUAGCGUCGGUCGAGUUGUUUCAGCUGAAGUAACUGGACAAUCUUACCGCCCCUGAUACUGAACAUACGCUAACACAGUUUCAAUGUUACAACAAUGGACGGCAAUGGAAAUGCCGUAAAUCCGGAAAAUAAAAUGGCUAAAACGAAAAUUUAUUCAUGCGAUAGAAAACGAUGACUGUAUACACGUCACCUGAAUUUCGACAAGAUUUUAAAUGAACAUCUACGUUACAAAACACAGACUUUGUCCAAUCCUUGAAGAUAUUUGAUAGCAUCAGCCAUGGCCGUCAUUUCGCCACCUUCCCCUCCGCCCAUGACAUCGCCGUCGGCCUGUGCGCUGGUGGCAUAAAUGGCCAACACGGCCAUCACCACCAGAAAAACCAAAGUGGUCAACGAACCGGAACGAGGAAAGAGAAGCUGAUGGAUGCUGUUGCUGGACAUGUUGCUGUAUGGGUGCUGGUGAGUGUGCGGGAUAGUGUUAUAGUAGGUAGAAGAGGCAAGUGUCGACUGUAUUCAGACCGCAACAUCUCGCACCUUUUUAUACUUGUUGCACCCCCGCCCUAUUAGAGAACAGUUUCAGCCAAGUUAGUUGACGCAGCCGCGUCCAGAGAAGGUCCUUUUGCAUCUCCUACGCCCGUUUUUGUGCGUGUGUGUGUGUGUGUUCCAGAAGAACACUUACAGUUUGUUCCUCAUU